rnacentral:rRNA from 2 species
GCUGGCGGCGUGCCUAAUACAUGCAAGUCGAGCGAACAGAUAAGGAGCUUGCUCCUUUGACGUUAGCGGCGGACGGGUGAGUAACACGUGGGUAACCUACCUAUAAGACUGGAAUAACUCCGGGAAACCGGGGCUAAUGCCGGAUAACAUUUAGAACCGCAUGGUUCUAAAGUGAAAGAUGGUUUUGCUAUCACUUAUAGAUGGACCCGCGCCGUAUUAGCUAGUUGGUAAGGUAACGGCUUACCAAGGCAACGAUACGUAGCCGACCUGAGAGGGUGAUCGGCCACACUGGAACUGAGACACGGUCCAGACUCCUACGGGAGGCAGCAGUAGGGAAUCUUCCGCAAUGGGCGAAAGCCUGACGGAGCAACGCCGCGUGAGUGAUGAAGGUCUUCGGAUCGUAAAACUCUGUUAUUAGGGAAGAACAAAUGUGUAAGUAACUGUGC